CCCCUUAAAGCUGCUCUACUCUCUCUGUCAGUCGCUCUUCCUCUCUUUCUCAGCAACCUCUGGCUGUCCUCUAUCUAUUCAGAAAUGGAUCUCUUCACGAAAAGGGGCAAGGAUCUCUUCGAGGCUGUACCGGAGGAUGUCGUUGUCGACAUCCUGUGCAGAAUUCUUGGUCUAUCGGAUUCUCCAGUGCCGUGCUGGGUGCAAGUGCUAAUCCGCAGAAUGUCUGCAGCUGUUCUAAAAUAUUCAUUGCACUUCUCAUCCGAAAAGUAAAUAAUUCACUUCCUCUGAAUUGGCUCAUGAUGGCCUACCCGGUGCUACCGCAACUCCCCCUCAUACACCCGCAGAUCAUUUGCCACAAUGGAAGAGGUUAGUUGUUCUACCUGCCCUUACAAUACGUUGCCAGUGUUCUCCUAAAUCUGUCCUUGCUAAUGGAUUAAUGUUGGUAUGCUGUGUUUUGAUGUUUGAUUAGUUCAUGUGAUGUCGCUCACAUUAUAUCAACAUGAUCUUUCCAUAUUAGGCUUAAACAUUGCAGGUAUGAAGUAAAAAGCUGUCACAUAUUGGUUCCUGUUCUGUCCCAAAUACUCUAUCCAACUGAAGUCCGAUGAAAUUCUGACCUCUUAUGAUUGAUAACUGUUUUAGUUGUUGCACGAUAACUAAGAAUGGGACAGGAAGUCGGUUCUUGUAGGAGGAUACAUUUCAUUGUUUCAGAAGGGAGGUAGCAAGUAGAUGUAUACACAUACUCCAUAACCAACGGGACCAAAAAAAAAAGAUCUUGGAUUAGAAAAAUUUUACUAUUAAUGGACCGACUCACAUGGAAUUUGAAUUAGUUAUGGUUUAUUGGAUUUUCGGACGUUUGAUGGUGAAUAUAAAGGGGAAAAAAAUAUUAUGCUUCAUUAUAAAUGUCAACUCAAAACAGUUCUCAUAAAUGUGUAUACAUCUAAUUUCAGAAAAUGGGUAUUCUUAAGUAAUAUUCAUUCCGGUUCCCGCUA